rnacentral:lncRNA from 1 species
GCCUUGUGGCGGAGACCGCUGAACUUCUUGGUCGACCACGGGGAAGCCCCGAUUUGCUUUGACAGCUCAGUGGAGACAAGAAAAGCCUUCACCUCUCUCCACCAGCUGCUGCCUGGGCCCUGAUGCCUCCAGGCCAUAGGCCAGCUGCUCGGGCCUCCCUGCAGUGCGUGGGGGACGAAACGUCCACAUGAGCAGGGACCAUGGACUUCUCCGCUGCCCCAGGAGAGGCCCCCAGGCCCCCCAAGCCCACCCUGGACCCUCAGACCUUGCCUCAUCUGGAAGGUACAAUGCUG